GAUGAACGCUGGCGGCGUGCCUAAUACAUGCAAGUCGAGCGAACGGACGAGAAGCUUGCUUCUCUGAUGUUAGCGGCGGACGGGUGAGUAACACGUGGAUAACCUACCUAUAAGACUGGGAUAACUUCGGGAAGCCGGAGCUAAUACCGGAUGAUAUUUUGAACCGCAUGGUUCAAAAGUGGAAGACGGUCUUGCUGUCACUUAUAGAUGGAUCCGCGCUGCAUUAGCUAGUUGGUAAGGUAACGGCUUACCAAGGCAACGAUGCAUAGCCGACCUGAGAGGGUGAUCGGCCACACUGGAACUGAGACACGGUCCAGACUCCUACGGGAGGCAGCAGUAGGGAAUCUUCCGCAAUGGGCGAAAGCCUGACGGAGCAACGCCGCGUGAGUGAUGAAGGUCUUCGGAUCGUAAAACUCUGUUAUUAGGGAAGAACAUAUGUGUAAGUAACUGUGCACAUCUUGACGGUACCUAAUCAGAAAGCCACGGCUAACUACGUG
rnacentral:rRNA from 1 species